rnacentral:rRNA from 1 species
UGAGGAAUAUUGGUCAAUGGGGGCAACCCUGAACCAGCCAAGUCGCGUGAAGGAUGAAGGUCUUAUGGAUUGUAAACUUCUUUUACACGGGAAUAAAGUGGGGGACGUGUCCCCCUUUGCAUGUACCGUGUGAAUAAGGAUCGGCUAACUCCGUGCCAGCAGCCGCGGUAAUACGGAGGAUCCGAGCGUUAUCCGGAUUUAUUGGGUUUAAAGGGUGCGCAGGCGGGAUGUUAAGUCGGCGGUGAAAUUUUGCAGCUCAACUGUAAAAGUGCCUUCGAUACUGGCCUCCUUGAGUGUGGAUGAAGUAGGCAGAAUUUGUGGUGUAGCGGUGAAAUGCUUAGAUAUCACGAGGAACUCCGAUUGCGCAGGCAGCUUACUAAGCCACAACUGACGCUCAUGCACGAAGGCGUGGGGAUCAAACA